CUCCCACUCCUCCUGCCAAGUAGCUGGGACUACAGAUGUGCACCAUCACCCCUGAGUGGAUGUGGGAACCACCAUGGAGAGUGGGACUCCCAUAAGCCCACUGUUCAAGAUGCCCCAGCAAACUGGUCAGUUGUAAACGUUGCUGCAGGUCCCUGAAAAAACUGCUUAUUUGACUUUUGAAAAUUGUCCAAUUUACCUAGCUUGGGGACAUUAGAUUCUAGCUCAGCAUACAUAUGGCGGAAAGGAGAGGAAAGAGAAAGGAGAAGAGAAAUAUUCAAAGAAACGAUGGCCUAAAAUUUCCCAAAAUUAACAACAAAAACUCAAUAAUCUACACAAAUCUACACACCAUGAAAAACUCCAAAGACACAUCAUAAUAAAAAUGCCAAAAGG
rnacentral:lncRNA from 1 species